rnacentral:rRNA from 1 species
UACGGGGGGAGCAAGCGUUGUUCGGAUUUACUGGGCGUAAAGGGCGCGUAGGCGGCCACUGCAAGUCAGUUGUGAAAUCUCCGGGCUUAACCCGGAAAGGUCAGCUGAUACUGCAGGGCUAGAGUGCAGAAGGGGCAACUGGAAUUCUCGGUGUAGCGGUGAAAUGCGUAGAUAUCGAGAGGAACACCUGCGGCGAAGGCGGGUUGCUGGGCUGACACUGACGCUGAGGCGCGAAAGCCAGGGGAGCGAACGGG